GAUGAACGCUAGCGGCAGGCCUAACACAUGCAAGUCGAGGGGUAGAGUUCUUCGGGACUUGAGACCGGCGCACGGGUGCGUAACGCGUAUGCAAUCUACCUUAUACAGGGGAAUAGCCCAGAGAAAUUUGGAUUAAUGCCCCAUAGUGUUAUCGAAUCGCAUGGUUUGAUAACUAAAGUUCCAACGGUAUAAGAUGAGCAUGCGUCCCAUUAGUUAGUUGGUAAGGUAACGGCUUACCAAGACAAUGAUGGGUAGGGGUCCUGAGAGGGAGAUCCCCCACACUGGUACUGAGACACGGACCAGACUCCUACGGGAGGCAGCAGUGAGGAAUAUUGGUCAAUGGGCGCAAGCCUGAACCAGCCAUGCCGCGUGCAGGAAGACGGUCCUAUGGAUUGUAAAGCACUUUAAGUGGGAGGAAGGGUAGUAACCUAAUACGUUGCUACUUUGACGUUACCGACAGAAUAAGCACCGGCUAAACUUCGUGCCAGCAGCCGCGGUAAAGUGACU
rnacentral:rRNA from 1 species